GUUUUGUGCAACAUAAUUUGUAUCUGAUGUUAGGGUAAAAUCUUCUACAUGCGCACGAGAAAUGUAUGACUGCAGAAUAACGUUAACUUUUCCUGAUGUAUUCGAAAUACUAUCCCUCAACUGACAAGGACUACUGUUUUCCAUUAGUGAUUCAAGCUCACGAUGCUCAUUUUCUCUCGAUUUGAUUUGGGAAAACUCGCUGCAUUGGCUCAAAAGAGCUAUAAUGUCUGCUUCCGACAUUUUGCUUUUCAAUAAAUUAUUUAAUGUUGAGACAGUUUGAUAAUUGAUAUAGUAAUUGGACGCGAUUCU